rnacentral:rRNA from 1 species
GAUGAACGCUAGCGGCAGGCUUAAUACAUGCAAGUCGAGGGGCAGCAUGAGUGUAGCAAUACAUUUGAUGGCGACCGGCAAACGGGUGCGGAACACGUACACAACCUUCCUAUAAGUGGGGAAUAGCCCAGAGAAAUUUGGAUUAAUACCCCGUAACAUAAUAAUGUGGCAUCACAUUAUUAUUAUAGCUUCGGCGCUUAUUGAUGGGUGUGCGGCUGAUUAGAUAGUUGGCGGGGUAACGGCCCACCAAGUCUACGAUCAGUAGCUGAUGUGAGAGCAUGAUCAGCCACACGGGCACUGAGACACGGGCCCGACUCCUACGGGAGGCAGCAGUAAGGAAUAUUGGUCAAUGGACGCAAGUCUGAACCAGCCAUGCCGCGUGAAGGAUUAAGGUCCUCUGGAUUGUAAACUUCUUUUAUCUGGGGCGAAAAAAGGCGAUUCUUCGUCACUUGACGGUACCAGAUGAAUAAGCACCGGCUAACUCCGUGCCAGCCGCCGCGGUAACAC